rnacentral:sRNA from 1 species
UAUGUGAUUUAAGUUUGGGGGAGGGCUCAGGAAGUGUGUGUUGCAUUGUAUACAAUCUUGAGUCUGCAUUCAUCUAAGGCAUAGAAAAAACCAAAAAAAU